rnacentral:lncRNA from 1 species
UUAACAGUCAUAAUGACCGUUCGAUUCGCCUGCACCACCUGAACCAGUUCACGAGGUGCUGCACCUUUCCAUUCGUUUCAGCAGUGCAGCGAUGGCGGCCUCUGAACCAUGCCAUUCAUUU